ACCAGCACUCCUGUUGUUGGACAGAAAGACAUCAACUCAGUGACUUGAGAUGUGACUGCACGAUGCUGUUGCUUCGACUCCAGUUAAUUCUACAAGACAUGCUGUGACACCAGGAGAGAUGAGUCCUCCGUCACAGAUGGUGUG